rnacentral:tRNA from 1 species
GAUUGAUUAGUUUAAUAAAAAUAUUAGUUUGUGGAACUAAAGAUAAGUAUUAGUCA